GACUCUUAGUGGUGGAUCACUGGGCUCGUGCAUCGAUGAAGAACGCAGCUAGAUGCGAGAAUUAAAGUGAACUGCAGGACACAUUGAUCAUGGACACUUUGAACGCACUUGUGGCCCUGGGUUCCUCCUGGGGCUAAACCUGUCUGAGAGUCG
rnacentral:rRNA from 1 species